rnacentral:rRNA from 1 species
AUGAAGGGCGCGGGCGGCACACUGCCCGGGCGAGAGGAGGAGCAAAAGGGCACGCACGGAGGCGGGGCCGUAUGCAUCGGACGUGCACGCUCGCCCGCAGUCAACGGGGACACAUCGGCCGUCCAUGGCAACUCGGAUCGAUGCAGGAGAACGAGGGGAGGGUCUCGCGAGGGUCGGGAAUGGAGCGGAGGCGGGUGGAACGGGCGAUUCGAAGGGGCUGCGGCGACGAGCAACUCCGUAGGCGGCGACCUGCGGGGUUCAAGCGGCGGUUGCCAUGAAGGUCGGGCGGCGGCUCUGCCUAGCCACGGUUCCUGCCUUCUCCCAGCCUAG